rnacentral:rRNA from 1 species
AGAGCGAACGCUGGCGGCAUGCUUAACACAUGCAAGUCGCACGGCCGGGCAACCGGCAGUGGCGGACGGGUGAGUAACGCGUAGGUAUCUAUCUCCGGGUGGGGGACAACUGUGGGAAACUACAGCUAAUACCGCAUGAUGCCCGAGGGCCAAAGGCGCAAGUCGCCUGGAGAGGAGCCUGCGUACGAUUAGCUUGUUGGUGAGGUAACGGCUCACCAAGGCGACGACGGGUA